UACGUAGGGCGCAAGCGUAUCCGGAAUUAUUGGGCGUAAAGAGCUCGUAGGCGGUUUGUCGCGUCUGCCGUGAAAGUCCGAGGCUCAACCUCGGGUCUGCAGUCGAUACGGGCAAACUAGAGUAUUGCAGGGGAGACUGGAAUUCCUGGUGUAGCGGUGAAAUGCGCAGAUAUCAGGAGGAACACCGAUGGCGAAGGCAGGUCUCUGGGCAUUAACUGACGCUGAGGAGCGAAAGCAUGGGGGAGCGAACAGG
rnacentral:rRNA from 1 species